GCCUACGGGGGGCAGCAGUAGGGAAUAUUGCUCAAUGGGGGAAACCCUGAAGCAGCAACGCCGCGUGGAGGAUGAAGGUUUUCGGAUUGUAAACUCCUUUUGUUAGAGAAGAUAAUGACGGUAUCUAACGAAUAAGCGCCGGCUAACUCCGUGCCAGCAGCCGCGGUAAUACGGAGGGUGCAAGCGUUACUCGGAAUCCCUGGGCGUAAAGAGCGCGUAGGCGGGAUAGCAAGUCAGAUGUGAAAUCCUAUGGUUUAACCAUAGAACUGCAUUUGAAACUGUUAUUCUAGAGUAUGGGAGAGGUA
rnacentral:rRNA from 1 species